GUGUGUGUGUGUGGUAUAAAGCAGUGGGAAUUGCUCUCAGCUUCUGUCAGAGCUGUGAUGUUGGCAAGGGCAGUCAUGCCUCCUGCAGCCCUUGGGCUCUGGGGCAGCUGCGGCCUUUGGAGCAGGCGCGGCAGGGCCCUGGCUCAUAUUGGAUACAGCCAGGGAUGUUCCGUGGGGAGGCUGAGGGCCCUGCAGGGGAGCAGCUGAGGGAGGCCUGUGGUAGGGCUCUUGCUAGGGGAUGUCCCUGGGCAAAAGCCAGUAGUCCAGGCUAUUGCUUCUCUGCUACCUCCCAAAAUGUUGAAAGGCCUCUGCAGUUUUCUUUUCAAAACCAUGCAGCACACCAGUCAGGUGCAGCUGGCCUGGGGUGCAUCAAUCAUAUAUGUUGUCUGUCUUGGUACUGAAUUUCAAGUUGUUAAAGAUUUCCUGCUUGUAAAUAUUAAUCUCAGAUGCUUUGAAGGAUUCAUUCCCAUGAGGAAAGAGUUCUUGUCAUCCAAAAAGAAACCGGUCUUCAGGGCCAGAGCAGCAGAAGUACUGGUGUGGCAGUGUUGAAGUGAUAUCUAUUAUUCUCAUUGCCACUUCAUCUUGGAUUUGUGUCAUGAGUUUGAUAGAACUGCACUUGUGUUGAUUUGAGGGGGAAGGGAAUGAAGAAGGCUUUACUCCCAUCAGUGGCUUCAAGCAUUGAUGAGUUUUGCCCUCCUUAAGAGCUGAUGUGGUUUGGGGUUUAGUUGUGGUUUCAGACCAGUCUGCAGUUUGUUCUUGUGCCUCUGAUACAAGUGCCUCUUUUCAAUGGUCAGUGAUGUAACUGCUGCUCACUAGAAAAAUGAAAUUUUAUCCUUAACUCUGCUUUGCUGUUAGACAGACAAAAAUGGAGCUCAAAAGUCCAACUCUGCACCCAGUUCAACAGAAAUGCAGUCCCUGCCAAAAUAGUAUUGCAGAUGGAUUUUCAAAAAGAAAUGUAAAUGAAAAAGUUUUCCUACCCAGAAAGAAAGAAGAUAAAAUUAGGCAAUGUUUCUUCUCUCCCUGAAGAUGCUGUGUUUGUUAGUCCUUUGACAUUGGAAAUCAGUGCCGAUAUUUCCUAAAUGUGAUCCACUUGCUAAGGAAGAGAACCUCUACAAUAUAAAACAGUAGUUCCUAGGUCUCAUAGAAAUGUGGCAGAUUUUUAGAGCUACCUGACUUCAUUCUCUUGAAGCACAUCAGCUUGUUUGUAGAAUCAUUGAGACCCAGAGUGACUGACUGAGAGUUUGGUGGUCUGUGUUUGACAUUCACCACGUGCUUGGUGUAACAGUACAAGUGUGCUUUCUGGAAUAGAAACAUAUCAGAAUGUUCUCUUAGAGUACACUCCUAGAAAAAUAGUCUGAUUUUUCCAUUAGAAAAUAUGUAGCCAUAGUCUCCUUGGACCAAUGCCAGCGCUACAAGGAUGACUUCAAUGCAGAGUAUGAGGAAUACCAAAAUUUAUAUACUCGGAUUGACAAGAUCAGAGAGCACUUCACACAGCUUCAGGAACAAUGGAAGUCUGUGACCGCAGGCUCUGAAGCCCAUCAGAUGCUACUUCAUCGAAUCCUAGCAGAUUAUCAGCAGAUACAACAGGGUAGCCCCAGCUACUUUGAAAUGAAGAACAGGUGCCUGUACCUCCACAACAAGCUGUCACAUAUUCAGAGCCUCAUAUCUGAAUUUGACAAGCAUUAAGUGGAGUCCUGGCACCAGGCAACUGCUUCAGCCAGAAAUAUCUAUGAACUCUGGAUUUUUUAUUACAACUAGAAGAUUAGGUUUUUAGGAUUAUUUUCAUUAGUAUUGAAC